rnacentral:rRNA from 1 species
CUACGGGCCGCACCAGUGAGGAAUAUUGGUCAAUGGGCGAGAGCCUGAACCAGCCAUCCCGCGUGCAGGAUGACGGCCCUAUGGGUUGUAAACUGCUUUUCCAUACCAAGAAGCCUGAUUACGUGUAAUUAGUUGCCGGUAGUAUGGGAAUAAGCAUCGGCUAACUCCGUGCCAGCAGCCGCGGUAAUACAGAGGAUGCAAGCGUUAUCCGGAUUCAUUGGGUUUAAAGGGUGCGCAGGUGGGCUUGUAAGUCAGUGGUGAAAUGUUGCCGCUUAACGGUAAAAUUGCCAUUGAUACUGCAAGUCUUGAAUAUAGUUGAGGUAGGCGGAAUGUGUUGUGUAGCGGUGAAAUGCAUAGAUAUGACACAGAACACCGAUUGCGAAGGCAGCUUACUAAGCUAUUAUUGACGCUGAGGCACGAAAGCGUGGGGAUCGAACAGGAUUAGAUACCCUAGUAGUC